rnacentral:rRNA from 1 species
GACGAACGCUGGCGGCGUGCUUAGCACAUGCAAGUCGAACGGAAAGGCCCUGCUUUUGUGGGGUGCUCGAGUGGCGAACGGGUGAGUAACACGUGAGUAACCUGCCCUUGACUUUGGGAUAACUUCAGGAAACUGGGGCUAAUACCGGAUAGGAGCUCCUGCUGCAUGGUGGGGGUUGGAAAGUUUCGGCGGUUGGGGAUGGACUCGCGGCUUAUCAGCUUGUUGGUGGGGUAGUGGCUUACCAAGGCUUUGACGGGUAGCCGGCCUGAGAGGGUGACCGGCCACAAUGGGACUGAGAUACGGCCCAGACUCCUACGGGAGGCAGCAGUGGGGAAUAUUGCACAAUGGGCGGAAGCCUGAUGCAGCAACGCCGCGUGCGGGAUGACGGCCUGCGGGUUGUAAACCGCUUUCGCCUGUGACGAAGCGGGAGUGACGGUAAUGGGUAAAGAAGCACCGGCUAACUACGUG